ACUCCUGUCCUUGGAGACGAGUAGAAGACGGUAUCCAAGGAGGAAGCCCCGGCUAACUACGUGCCAGCAGCCGCGGUAAUACGUAGGGGGCAAGCGUUGUCCGGAAUAAUUGGGCGUAAAGGGCGCGUAGGCGGCUCGGUAAGUCUGGAGUGAAAGUCCUGCUUUUAAGGUGGGAAUUGCUUUGGAUACUGUCGGGCUUGAGUGCAGGAGAGGUUAGUGGAAUUCCCAGUGUAGCGGUGAAAUGCGUAGAGAUUGGGAGGAACACCAGUGGCGAAGGCGACUAACUGGACUGUAACUGACGCUGAGGCGCGAAAGUGUGGGGAGCAAACAGGAUUAGAUACCCUGGUAGUCCACACUGUAAACGAUGAAUGCUAGGUGUAGGGGGUAUCGACCCCUUCUGUGCCGCAGUCAACACAAUAAGCAUUCCGCCUGGGGAGUACGGCCGCAAGGUUGAAACUCAAAGGAAUUGACGGGGGCCCGCACAAGCAGCGGAGCAUGUGGUUUAAUUCGACGCAACGCGAAGAACCUUACCAGGUCUUGACAUCCACUUAAACUUACAGAGAUGUAAGGUGUGCUUGCACAAAGUGAGACAGGUGGUGCAUGGUUGUCGUCAGCUCGUGUCGUGAGAUGUUGGGUUAAGUCCCGCAACGAGCGCAACCCUUGUUGUCAGUUGCUACGCAAGAGCACUCUGGCAAGACUGCCGUUGACAAAACGGAGGAAGGUGAGGAUGACGUCAAAUCAUCAUGCCCUUUAUGACCUGGGCUACACACGUACUACAAUGGCGGUAAACAAAGAGGAGCGAAGUCGUGAGGCAGAGCAAAUCUCCAAAAGCCGUCUCAGUUCAGAUUGCAGGCUGAAACUCGCCUGCAUGAAGUUGGAAUUGCUAGUAAUCGUGAAUCAGCAUGUCACGGUGAAUACGUUCCCGGGCCUUGUACACACCGCCCGUCAAACCAUGAGAGUUGGGAAUGCCCGAAGUCUGUUGUCUGACCGCAAGGGGGACGCAGCCGAAGGCAGGCUCGAUGAUUGGGGUUAAGUCGUAACAAGGUAGCCGUAUCGGAAGGUGCGGCUG
rnacentral:rRNA from 1 species